rnacentral:rRNA from 1 species
UGGGGAAUAUUGCACAAUGGGCGCAAGCCUGAUGCAGCCAUGCCGCGUGUAUGAAGAAGGCCUUCGGGUUGUAAAGUACUUUCAGCGAGGAGGAAGGCGUUGUGGUUAAUAACCGCAACGAUUGACGUUACUCGCAGAAGAAGCACCGGCUAACUCCGUGCCAGCAGCCGCGGUAAUACGGAGGGUGCAAGCGUUAAUCGGAAUUACUGGGCGUAAAGCGCACGCAGGCGGUCUGUCAAGUCGGAUGUGAAAUCCCGGGGCUCAACCUGGGAACUGCAUCCGAAACUGGCAGGCUAGAGUCUUGUAGAGGGGGGUAGAAUUCCAGGUGUAGCGGUGAAAUGCGUAGAGAUCUGGAGGAAUACCGGUGGCGAAGGCGGCCCCCUGGACAAAGACUGACGCUCAGGUGCGAAAGCGUGGGGAGCAAACA